rnacentral:rRNA from 1 species
AGAGUUUGAUCAUGGCUCAGGAUGAACGCUAGCUACAGGCUUAACACAUGCAAGUCGAGGGGAAACGACAUCGAAAGCUUGCUUUUGAUGGGCGUCGACCGGCGCACGGGUGAGUAACGCGUAUCCAACCUGCCCACCACUUGGGGAUAACCUUGCGAAAGUAAGACUAAUACCCAAUGACGUCUCUAGAAGACAUCUGAAAGGGAUUAAAGAUUUAUCGGUGAUGGAUGGGGAUGCGUCUGAUUAGCUUGGUUGGCGGGGUAACGGCCCACCAAGGCUACGAUCAGUAGGGGUUCUGAGAGGAAGGUCCCCCANAUUGGAACUGAGACACGGUCCAAACUCCGUACGGGAGGCA